GCAGCACCGCUCCUUCUGAGAGGAAAUAUUUCCUAAUACCCAACCUGAACCUCCCCUGGUGCAACUGCAGGCCAUACCUGGGGGCAGAGGCUGACCUCCACCUCACUACAACCUCAUUUCAGGUCACUGUAGAGAGCCAUAAGAUCUCCCCUGAGCUUCCUCUUCUCCAAAAUGAACAAUCCCAGUUCCCUCAGCCGCUCCCCAUCAGGCUUGUGCUCCAGACCCUCCACCAGCUUUGUUGCCCUUCUUUGGAUGAAGUGGAUAACAAUUCAUUUCUGUACACUCAGUGAAUACUAAGGGGGUUGUUAUGUGGUCUCCCAAUCCAUACUGGAGGAAAAGCCACCAAAUCAUGCCCUACCCAUGCAGAAGAAGAAGAGAUGCACCCACCUGACAGUGACUAUAUUGGCCUUGCAGAAAAGAGUAGGCGUAGGGAGAAAUCAUGAUGUUCAGUCCCCAUUCAGACCCAUCUCUCUAGCUGCUUCUGGCCCAGUGUUCAGGCAGAUAAUGGCACAGCUGGCAGUGAGCCCAUGCUUUUCUCUGCUGGUGUACGAUGCUGGGAGGAAGGGUUCAUUCAGCAAGCCCCCAGGGCUCUCCUCUGGAUGGCACCAUCCCAGUUCUUCCAGAAGAGAGAGAGAAAGGGUGCUUUUGGUGCCAUUUCUAUAGCUGCUGCUAUUUGGCACCACAGGAUAUGCCCUUAUUUCCUCCCAUUCACUAUCCUGACUCACUUAGCAGGGCUGAUGAUUGUCUCUCAAAGAUUUUUACCUGUGAUGGGAAACGAACAACUAAGGAGGGCAGAAGAGAAGGAGGAGUUGAGGAAGAUGAAGAGGAUGGGAGAGAAGAGCCUUACAAAAGUCUUCACAGAACCAUCUCUGAUCAAAAGCACAGAAAAGGCUCAUUAGAUGCAGGUGAAAACAAAGAUAAAAUGAAUAGCUCAGAAGUAAGAGGUGAUGCAUGAAAAAUGCAUGAAAUGGAGACAGACUGAUGAGCUUGAGCCCUCUGUAGCACACGCUCUGCUACCCGUGACCAGUUGUUCUAUUUUGGUCUCCAUUUGAGGAAAGGAUGGGAAACGCUGAGCUUUGCUCUCCGUGACAGCGACAGGGCCUGAGGGAACAGCAUGGAGCUGUGCCAGGGGAAGGUCAGGUUGGAGGUUAGGAUGAGGUUCUUCACCAGAGGGUGGUGGGCAUGGAACAGGCUGCCUAGGGCAGUGGCACGGCCCCGAGCUGCUGGAGUUCAAGGAGCGUCUGGUCUGGUCAAUGUACUCAGACAUAAGGUCCGACUUCUGAGUGGUUCUGUAUGGAGCCUAGAGUCGGACUUGAUGGUCCUUAUGAAGAGACCUUCUUCAGUUGCCUUCUCUGAUGCUGCAUGUUGGUCCUGGCUGUACAUCUGUGUGAACCUGGGCACGUUUUAUUUGGCUCUGAGCUUCACUGCUUCCUUCCAGAAGAACAGCCACUGCCUGCUGAUGGUCAGUAUGGAUGCGGUGUCCUCGGCGUGGGGUUGACUGUUGCUGUGCCCUCCUCUACCUAGCAGACAAGUCUUACGCUAGAGCUUGUUUCUGGCCGCUGAUGGGGACUGCCUGCGUGAUCUGCUCACCAGCUCUGAAAAAAGCUUUGGAACAAGUCCUUGGGUCUGUCCCAGGCAUAAGGAUAUUUCAGUCUGAGAAAGUUACUGCUUUUGUUGACUUCUGCUGUCCCUGAGGGCUUUGCAACCCUGGAUCCUUGCCUGAGAGAUGUCAGCCCAUGAUGUCAGAGGAGGUUGUUGGUGGUGGUGUGGCAGUAGAGGAUGAACCUUCCCACCAACAUCCUGUUACAUGUUGUUGCCUUGCAAAGAUGGCAGCAGAGGGGCAGUUUGACAAGAUGGCACCUGGCAUGAAAGUGCAUAGGAAACAAAGGUGUGCCACUGAACUCUUUCUUGUCAAAGAAAAAAAAAGAUGGUAGCCACUGACAUUCAUUGACACUUGCUGAAUGUUUAUGGAGACCAAAUAAUGGAUGUUAACACAGAGGGGGGAGUGCUGUGUUUCAGCAGUGGCAACAGUGAUGUGAAAGGCAACCCACAUUCUGGAUGGCCACACACAUCUGUCACACCACAAAAUGAAGAGUGACCUGAUCAUCUCAUCCAUGUGAAUCAGCAGAUUAUGACCAGUAAACUGGUAUCAGCUUCAAUGCACUGGAAAUGAUGGUGGCAACACUGGCAUAUCAUGAAGUUUGUGGCAGAUGGGUCCCACAAAUGCUCACACAGGAACAGAAAGAACACUGUACGCAAGUAUGUCAUGACACAUUGAACCAAUAUGAAGAUGAAGGUGACAGUUUUCUCAAUCACAUCAUUUCUGGUGAUGAGAUGUGGUGUCUCCAUUAUGCUCCAGCAUCAAAAUGGCAGCUCACGAAGUAGCAACAUGCAAAUUCCACACUGAAGAAGUUCCAGAUGCAGCCCUUAAUGGGUAAAGUCAUGUGCAGUGUCUUUUGGGAUAGGAAAAGGGG
ensembl:lncRNA